rnacentral:rRNA from 1 species
UACGAAGGGGGGCUAGCGUUGUUCGGAAUUACUGGGCGUAAAGCGCACGUAGGCGGAUAUUUAAGUCAGGGGGUGAAAUCCCAGAGCUCAACUCUGGAACUGCCUUUGAUACUGGGUAUCUCGAGUAUGGAAGAGGUGAGUGGAAUUCCGAGUGUAGAGGUGAAAUUCGUAGAUAUUCGGAGGAACACCAGUGGCGAAGGCGGCUCACUGGUCCAUUACUGACGCUGAGGUGCGAAAGCGUGGGGAGCAAACAGG